rnacentral:rRNA from 1 species
GUAGGGGGCAAGCGUUAUCCGGAUUUACUGGGUGUAAAGGGAGCGUAGACGGCACGGCAAGCCAGAUGUGAAAGCCCGGGGCUCAACCCCGGGACUGCAUUUGGAACUGCUGAGCUAGAGUGUCGGAGAGGCAAGUGGAAUUCCUAGUGUAGCGGUGAAAUGCGUAGAUAUUAGGAGGAACACCAGUGGCGAAGGCGGCUUGCUGGACGAUGACUGACGUUGAGGCUCGAAAGCGUGGGGAGCAAACAGGAUUAGAUACCCUGGUAGUCCACGCCGUAAACGAUGACUGCUAGGUGUCGGGUGGCAAAGCCAUUCGGUGCCGCAGCAAACGCAAUAAGCAGUCCACCUGGGGAGUACGUUCGCAAGAAUG